rnacentral:pre_miRNA from 1 species
AAUAUACUCCCUCCGUCCGAAAAAGCUUGUCCCUCAUUUGUGCUAGAUACAUCUAUUUGAGGGACAAGUUUUUUCGGACGGAGGGAGUACAAG